rnacentral:rRNA from 1 species
GAUGAACGCUGGCGGCGUGCCUAAUACAUGCAAGUCGAGCGAACAGACGAGGAGCUUGCUCCUCUGACGUUAGCGGCGGACGGGUGAGUAACACGUGGAUAACCUACCUAUAAGACUGGGAUAACUUCGGGAAACCGGAGCUAAUACCGGAUAAUAUAUUGAACCGCAUGGUUCAAUAGUGAAAGACGGUUUUGCUGUCACUUAUAGAUGGAUCCGCGUCGCAUUAGCUAGUUGGUAAGGUAACGGCUUACCAAGGCAACGAUGCGUAGCCGACCUGAGAGGGUGAUCGGCCACACUGGAACUGAGACACGGUCCAGACUCCUACGGGAGGCAGCAGUAGGGAAUCUUCCGCAAUGGGCGAAAGCCUGACGGAGCAACGCCGCGUGAGUGAUGAAGGUCUUCGGAUCGUAAAACUCUGUUAUUAGGGAAGAACAAAUGUGUAAGUAACUAUGCACGUCUUGACGGUACCUAAUCAGAAAGCCCCGGCUAACUACGUG